CAGUUCGGAUUGUAGGCUGCAACUCGCCUACAUGAAGCUGGAAUCGCUAGUAUCGCGGAUCAGAAUGCCGCGGUGAAUACGUUCCCGGGUCUUGUACACACCGCCCGUCACACCAUGGGAGUCGGAAAUGCCCGAAGCCGGCGACCUAACCUUUCAGGAAGGAGCCGUCGAAGGCAGGUCUGAUAACUGGGGUGAAGUCGUAACAAGGUACC
rnacentral:rRNA from 1 species